UCCGACUCGGCGUCUUCCUUCUGUCUCUCUUUCCUUCCCUGAGUUCCCUUCCCUCCCUCCAGCGACGCCCUUCUAGGGUUUUUAGAUCUGUGGUCUUCUCCAUGCAUUUGCUGUUUUGAGAUUCUUUCUUCACUGCAUGUUGUUCUCUCUCUCUCUCUCUCAAAGAGCACCUGCCGUUUUCUCUCGACUUCGUCUGUUGAAGUGAGUGAGUAAGAGAUGGGUUUUGCUUAGACAUCGUCUAAUUUUGUCUGAAAGAGCAUUUUUUUUUUCCAUAGAUAGGAUCUACAAUUUGAUAUUCCUAUGAAAACGAAUUCAUUGCACCGUCUUUCUCACGCAAGCUAGGGUUUUGUCCGUCCUGCUCCUCUCCAUCUCCGCGCCCCUCUCUCUCCGCCUCCAGAGCUGCUCUUCCGCUGCCGUGGCCUCGCGCUUCUCUUCUAGAUCUCAGAGCAGAGAGGUCGCCCCGUUGUCCUUCUCGCUUGCACGGCUGUUCAUCGAGAACCUCGUCUUUCAGUUGUUCACACUUAAAGCAUCUUCCUCUCCCCCGAUCGAUCUACAUCGAUGUGCUUUCUCCUUUGUGAAUUUUUUUUUUAAUUCCUCUCGAUCCCGAGUUUCUGGAGAGCUUCUCCGUGUCGCCAAAAGGCGGUGGUGCUGGUGGCGAAUUCUGUGUUCUUUUGAGCGGCCCCGGUCCACUCCAACAUUAGCGUCUAUCUCAUUUCACCCUAUCGAAUUCAUCUCACAUUCCCUUUGUCCCCUCACAAUGCAAUACCCUGUUCUUGUUCGAUCCGCCGGGCGUCAAUUGGAGUUAGAUUUGUUGACUGAGAUGUGAAUCUGCGAGUAAUUACUGGUUGCGCGAGCUCAUGAUGGAGCGAAACUAAAGGGAUGAGAAAUCGGGUCCCGUUCGAUUCUGCUCCAUAUGUGCUUGCGCAACCUGAACUACUGGCGGCAUGAAUCCCCCUUUUACUUAUGGUGCACUGAAAUUGGAUGCAUUCUGAAAUUCGAAAUACUUAUCAGAUUGUGCGAGUUUUGCCUGCUUUAGGUAGGGGAAAGGCGCGAGUUUUAGUUUUUCAAACCCUGUUAUACUGUUGCGCUCUGCGUUGCUUAUUCCAAGUAAAAGCAUCGGCUUUCUUUCUUUUCUUUUUUUGUGGCUUUCUGUUUAAAUUCCAGUGAAAGCAGCUAGUUCAUAUUCUAAUUAAGGUGGUGAUAGAUAGUUGAAGGUGCGUGCACAAUUGUAGGGUAUUACAUAUUAUCUAUUUGCAUGAUAGAUGCUCGCUAUUGGCUGUUCCAGUUUCCAAUGAAUGUUGAUACAACUCCUAUGUUUUGGUUCUGUUUUUUGUUUUUCCAGAAGGAGGUGCUGCAGUAGAAGUCCUCUUAGACGAACUCUUUACUUUCUGGGUAAUGAAUCCAGAAAUUAUGAUCAACUAUUUCCAAAUUUGAUUUGCUUUCUUUUACAUUAAAGUUAGUGGGCCUAACUGCCUGCCGGAGAUAUGGAUUGCAUCGAUGUUUCUGUUGAGUCAUCUUUCUGACUAAGAAUGACUGACCUGACAAUAAAUGAAUGCAUUGUUAUGGAAAAUGCAAAAAAAUUCAGGGGUGAGCAUGAUUAUAGAAUUUGAUAUCGAAUUGC